CCAAUAGCGUAUAUUAAAGUUGUUGCAGUUAAAAAGCUCGUAGUUGAAUCUCGGGGUUAGUAGGUUGGUCAUGCCUCUGGUAUGUACUGGUCUCACUGAUUCCUCCUUCCUGAUGAGCCGUAAUGCCAUUAUUUUGGUGUUGCGGGGAAUUUGGACUGUUACUUUGAAAAAAUUAGAGUGUUUAAAGCAAGCUAACGCUUGAAUACAUUAGCAUGGAAUAAUGAAAUAGGACGUUCGAUCCUAUUUUGUUGGUUUCUAGGAUUGACGUAAUGAUUAAUAGGGAUAGUUAGGGGCAUUAGUAUUCAAUUGUCAGAGGUGAAAUUCUUGGAUUUAUUGAAGACUAACUACUGCGAAAGCAUUUGCCAAGGAUGUUUUCAUUAAUCAAGAACGAAAGUUAGGGGAUCGAAGACGAUCAGAUACCGUCGUAGUCUUAACCAUAAACUAUGCCGACUAGGGAUCGGAUGAUGUUAAUUUUUUAAUGACUCAUUCGGCGCCUUACG
rnacentral:rRNA from 1 species